CCUACGGGUGGCAGCAGUGGGGAAUAUUGCGCAAUGGGCGAAAGCCUGACGCAGCGACGCCGCGUGAGGGAUGAAGGUCUUCGGAUCGUAAACCUCUGUCAGCAGGGAAGAACGGUCACUGUGCUAAUCAUCAGUGAAUUGACGUUACCUGCAAAGGAAGCACCGGCUAACUCCGUGCCAGCAGCCGCGGUAAUACGGAGGGUGCGAGCGUUAAUCGGAAUUACUGGGCGUAAAGCGCUCGUAGGCGGUAUGUCAAGUCAAGGGUGAAAUCCCCGGGCUCAACGUGGGAACUGCAUUUGAUACUGGCAAACUGGAGUGUGGGAGAGGUAAGUGGAAUUCGAGGUGUAGGAGUGAAAUCCGUAGAUAUCUGGAAGAACAUCGAUGGCGAAGGCAGCUAACUGAAACAUAACUGACGCUGAGGAGCGAAAGCGUGGGUAGCAAACAGGAUUAGAUACCCUAGUAGUC
rnacentral:rRNA from 1 species